rnacentral:ncRNA from 1 species
GGCCGGGUAGCGCGCAGCCAUAAAAGACUCCUUCGGGGGGAAAUCUGCGGGCCGUUCCAAGUGCGGUGUUGAAGUACCCGGCCGCCCUCUC